rnacentral:tRNA from 2 species
GGCUUAAUAGCUUAAUGGUAAAGCAUUCAAGGUAAAACCGCAGACACCAGUGUGAAAGCCACUGACGAAAAAGAUACAAGUUCGAGUCUUGUUUGAGUCG